AUUGUGUAAGAAAAAGGAGAUUUAUAAAGCAUUGUUUAAUUUUUGAACAUAAUUACAGUAAUUAGAGGAACGUUAAAUGUUUUAUUAUUUUUUUAGAUCGAUUACUUUUCAGAAAUGCGCUUGCGCUUUAUUUUCAUGUUCUAUCUAGACUAUAAUGUAGCAGCACAUUAUUCAUAUAUUGUGACUUCAUAACAGUAUUUUCCACCCCAAGAUUAUGGUGAAGUGAAAAAAAAAAGAAAAAAUUUAAGAACAGAAUUUAUCAAAAUUGAAGAAUUUAUGAAUUCUCCUUAAUUACUUAAAAUAAAAAUUUUCCUAAGUAAUUAAUAUAUUAUUUAAAACAGUUCAACAAUAAAAAAAAUAUAAGACAAUAAUUAUCGAUAACAAUAACUACUGAAGAAAUCUAAAUUUAGAAAUAACAGAGGUGAACAAUAUAUGAGCUCUAAAACUACUAACAAAAUGUAAAAGUAAUUAUGUUUUAUUUUCAAAAUUCAUGAUAAAAAUAUUAGCCAAAUAGCCAUUUGAAAUUCAAGCUGGCAGUUGCAAGAACUUAACCAAAGCUGGUUAAGUGGAAAGACAAUUACUAGUUAUAUCGAUGAAACAUUAAAAGAAAAUCAAUAUGGGUAAAAAGAAAAAGGUUAAUCCAGAGGAUUUAAUUAUUCCACCGCAAGAUCAAAAAAUCUGUUGUACAGUUUUCAUUUGUCAAAUGGUGCUAAUAUUAAGUACAGUGUCUAUUGUUUAUCUGACCGUUGCUAUUUAUGUACCUUCAUCAAAAGCAUUCAGUUCAGGAAUCAGCGAGACUCCAGUAAUGUGUACUACUACAAGGCUUGUAAAUACAGAAGUAUGUGAUUGGGGAUCUUGUGGAGAAUGGUGUCUAAGUAAAACUUCUGGAGCUUGCCAACAAAUUUUCGUCAAUUUACGUCGGAACGGUAGCAAUAUUAUUUUGAAUAAUUGUACGAGCUCAGCGAACAAAACAUGUUAUGGAAUUGACCAAGAAAAUGCAAAAAAAGCACGUUGUAUUCUUGAUGAGUGUAAAAAUUUAACAGGAACAUUUAACUGUAGUGCCGGUAGUUGCAUCAAUAUAACAGAUGCAUUUGAUUGUGCUUUUCAUAAUUUAGAGUCGCCGUUAAAAUGUUCUGGAAGACGAGGAAAAAUUACUUGUAUCGACAUUCAAGGAUUAUUUACAUGCAAUAGAGGGAGCUGUAGUCGUAUUAAAUCGCCUUAUAACUGUGACCGAAGAUGCUUAGACAUUCCAACCCGUAACAAAAACGCUAUUAUAUUAAGUGGUGACAAGGUAUAUUUAUCCAAUUGUGCAAGUGCUAGUGAUUCUAACUCAUCAAAGGAAAUAUGGAACGAAUCACAGGAAAAUAUAUUAAUGGCAUCUUGCUAUAGGAUUCAAAACACAUCACUGGGUAUCGAAGCCAUCGAUUGUAUUAAUGGUUCAACAUUGGAGAAAAAUGCAUUAACUGAUUUAACAAACUUUACACAUUUGAGUAAUUUGCACCUUUUUUCAUCUAAACCAAAUCGAGAUAUUGCGCCACCUGAUUAUGAUCUAACAAUAUCCAACCACUCUAAGUUGAUGAUUAAUUUAGAAGGUUGUGUAAACACAUUAAUGGAUGAGUGCAAUAAAUUUAUAAAAGAAUACGGUAAAGAUGGAACUGAUCAUAAUGCUCGUGCUCGUUUUCCCUGUUUUUAUGCAGAAAAUGACCCAGAAACAGUUGUGGCACGGUUCAGUCUCGCAGUCGUAGAAAAGCACUUCGUUAUUGGUUUCUUUUUACCUGUUUCUUUAAUGAUUGUAUCCUGUUUUACAAUAUUUAUAUGUCAAAGAACCGUUGUCGUAGGUGAUGAUGCUAAAAUGCGAUUUAAGGCAUGCGGCGAAACUGAAAGUAUAUUACCUAAUGAUGGACCAAAUGGAACAAACGACGCUGGAGGCAUUAGUGCUAUGGCUCUUUGAGAUCCAUCACGCAUUCCUCUACUCCAAGAAGAAAGUCCAUCUCAUCAAACUGGUAUAUUUGCUCUUCAAUAAAUGUGAUUCUUGACUUUAACAUAAACAUGAAAAAUCGCAUCAGAAUUUUAUGUACAUUAUUUUUAUUCCGGUAGUGAUGCUAAUUUUUGUUCAAUCAUAUCAAUAUGACAUCAACAUAAACAGUAAACAAAGGAAAAAAUAAUAACAUGUAUUAUUUUCAAAGAAAAAGUGAUGCUCUCUAUUUCUAAUCCUAUAUUUUUGUGGUAUUUUUAUUGUAAAACACUGCAACAAAUUAAUUAAUUAGAUUUACAUUCUUACAAAUUAAGCAAAUAUAAAUACUUUUAUGAGAGAGGAAUGCGU